UACGAAGGGGACUAGCGUUGUUCGGAAUUACUGGGCGUAAAGCGCACGUAGGCGGAUUUGUAAGUCAGGGGUGAAAUCCCGAGGCUCAACCUCGGGUCUGCAGUCGAUACGAGCAAACUAGAGUGUUGCAGGGGAGACUGGAAUUCCUGGUGUAGCGGUGAAAUGCGCAGAUAUCAGGAGGAACACCGGUGGCGAAGGCGGCUCUCUGGUACGGAACUGACGCUGGAGACGCGAAAGCGUGGGAGCGAACAGG
rnacentral:rRNA from 1 species